AGAGUUUGAUCCUGGCUCAGGAUGAACGCUAGCGGGAGGCCUAAUACAUGCAAGUCGAACGGUUCUGGCUUCGGCCAGGAUAGUGGCGCACGGGUGAGUAACGCGUACGCAAUUUGCCCUCAAGAGGGGAAUAGCCCUGGGAAACUGGGAGUAAUACCCCAUAGAGUUAUUUAAUCGCAUGAUAGAAUAACUAAAGCUACGGUGCUUGAGGAUGAGCGUGCGUCUGAUUAGCUAGUUGGUAGGGUAAUGGCCUACCAAGGCGAUGAUCAGUAGGGGGCGUGAGAGCGUGGCCCCCCACACGGGUACUGAGACACGGACCCGACUCCUACGGGAGGCAGCAGUAAGGAAUAUUGGGCAAUGGGCGGAAGCCUGACCCAGCCAUCCCGCGUGCAGGAUGAAUGCCCUAUGGGUUGUAAACUGCUUUUGUUUGAGAAGAAUGGAAUGCAUUUAUGUGUUUUUGACGGUAUCUUACGAAUAAGCACCGGCUAACUCCGUGCCAGCAGCCGCGGUAAUACGGAGGGUGCAAGCGUUAUCCGGAAUCACUGGGUUUAAAGGGUGCGUAGGCGGCACGAUAAGUCAGAGGUGAAAGCUUACAGCUCAACUGUAAAAUUGCCUUUGAUACUGUUGUGCUUGAAUCAGGUUGAGGUAUGCAGAAUGUGGCAUGUAGCGGUGAAAUGCAUAGAUAUGCCAUAGAAUACCAAUUGCGAAGGCAGCAUGCUGGACCUGUAUUGACGCUGAGGCACGAAAGCGUGGGGAUCAAACAGGAUUAGAUACCCUGGUAGUCCACGCCCUAAACGAUGCUAACUCGACAUGUGAUUUACGGAUUGCGUGUCCAAGCGAAAGCGUUAAGUUAGCCACCUGGGGAGUACGUCGGCAACGAUGAAACUCAAAGGAAUUGACGGGGGCCCGCACAAGCGGUGGAGUAUGUGGUUUAAUUCGAUGCAACGCGAAGAACCUUACCAGGGUUUGACAUCCUGCGAAUCCCUUGGAAACGAGGGAGUGCCU
rnacentral:rRNA from 1 species